UGAGCAAAAUGUAUUUUAGUUCAAAGCCCCGAAACUAAGUGAGCUACUUCGAAACGUCUUAAGGACAAACCCGUCUCUGUCGCAAUAGAGUGGGAAGAUUUCCAAGUAGCGGCGACAAACCAACCGCACUUAGAGAUAGCUGGUUACUCAAGAACAGAAUUUAAGUUCAACCUUAAGUUUAUCAAUUAUAAAAAAAAAUUCAUUAAACUUAAGAGCUAUUCAAAUAAGGCACAGCUUAUUUGAAACAGGAUACAGCCUACAGCACCGGGUAAAAUUCCAGAGCAGAAAACAAGUGGGCCUAAAAGCAGCCACCUUUUAAAAAGCGUUAAAGCUUAACCUCUAUUCUUUCUUAAUACCUCCACAUACUCUCAACCCGCCACCAAUAUUGAGUAAUUCCAUAAACUUAUGGAAAAUAUAAUGCUAGAACUAGUAACAAGAACAACCUUCUCCAAAAUGCAAACCUUAGCCACAAUAGAAAGCCUAUUGGCAAUUAACGUAGAUGACAGCACUAUAGCACCUUAAACAAGAAUACCCUAUAACCUCUAACGUCAACCUUACACCAGAGCAUUAAUGAAAGAUAAAAG
rnacentral:rRNA from 1 species